rnacentral:rRNA from 1 species
UGCAAGUCGAACGAACUCUGGUAUUGAUUGGUGCUUGCAUCAUGAUUUACAUUUGAGUGAGUGGCGAACUGGUGAGUAACACGUGGGAAACCUGCCCAGAAGCGGGGGAUAACACCUGGAAACAGAUGCUAAUACCGCAUAACAACUUGGACCGCAUGGUCCGAGUUUGAAAGAUGGCUUCGGCUAUCACUUUUGGAUGGUCCCGCGGCGUAUUAGCUAGAUGGUGGGGUAACGGCUCACCAUGGCAAUGAUACGUAGCCGACCUGAGAGGGUAAUCGGCCACAUUGGGACUGAGACACGGCCCAAACUCCUACGGGAGGCAGCAGUAGGGAAUCUUCCACAAUGGACGAAAGUCUGAUGGAGCAACGCCGCGUGAGUGAAGAAGGGUUUCGGCUCGUAAAACUCUGUUGUUAAAGAAGAACAUAUCUGAGAGUAACUGUUCAGGUAUUGACGGUAUUUAACCAGAAAGCCACGGCUAACUACGUGCCAGCAGCCGCGGUAAUACGUAGGUGGCAAGCGUUGUCCGGAUUUAUUGGGCGUAAAGCGAGCGCAGGCGGUUUUUUAAGUCUGAUGUGAAAGCCUUCGGCUCAACCGAAGAAGUGCAUCGGAAACUGGGAAACUUGAGUGCAGAAGAGGACAGUGGAACUCCAUGUGUAGCGGUGAAAUGCGUAGAUAUAUGGAAGAACACCAGUGGCGAAGGCGGCUGUCUGGUCUGUAACUGACGCUGAGGCUCGAAAGUAUGGGUAGCAAACAGGAUUAGAUACCCUGGUAGUCCAUACCGUAAACGAUGAAUGCUAAGUGUUGGAGGGUUUCCGCCCUUCAGUGCUGCAGCUAACGCAUUAAGCAUUCCGCCUGGGGGAGUACGGCCGC